AUUGAACGCUGGCGGCAUGCUUUACACAUGCAAGUCGGACGGCAGCACAGAGAAGCUUGCUUCUUGGGUGGCGAGUGGCGAACGAGUGAGUAAUAUAUCGGAACGUACCGAGUAAUGGGGGAUAACUAAUCGAAAGAUUAGCUAAUACCGCAUAUUCUCUGAGGAGGAAAGCAGGGGACCUUCGGGCCUUGCGUUAUUCGAGCGGCCGAUAUCUGAUUAGCUAGUUGGUGGAGUAAAGGCCUACCAAGGCAACGAUCAGUAGCGGGUCUGAGAGGAUGAUCCGCCACACUGGGACUGAGACACGGCCCAGACUCCUACGGGAGGCAGCAGUGGGGAAUUUUGGACAAUGGGCGCAAGCCUGAUCCAGCCAUGCCGCGUGUCUGAAGAAGGCCUUCGGGUUGUAAAGGACUUUUGUCCAGGGAAGAAAAGGAUAGGGUUAAUACCCCCUGUCUGAUGACGGUACCCUGAAGAAUA
rnacentral:rRNA from 1 species